rnacentral:rRNA from 1 species
GACGAACGCUGGCGGCGUGCUUAACACAUGCAAGUCGAACGGAAAGGCCCUGCUUUUGUGGGGUGCUCGAGUGGCGAACGGGUGAGUAACACGUGAGUAACCUGCCCUUGACUUUGGGAUAACUUCAGGAAACUGGGGCUAAUACCGGAUAGGAGCUCCUGCUGCAUGGUUGGGGUUGGAAAGUUUCGGCGGUUGGGGACGGACUCGCGGCUUAUCAGCUUGUUCGUGGGGUAGUGACUUACCAAGGCUCUGACGGGUAGCCGGACUGAGAGGGUGACCGGCCACAUGGGGAAUACGAUAAGGCUCAGUAUCGUACGGGGGGCAGCAUUGGGGAGUAUUGCACAAUGGGGUGACGCCUGAUGCAGCAACGCUGCGUGCGGGAUGCCGGCCUUCGGUUUGUAAACCGCUUUCGCCUGUGGCGAAAAGUUCGUGACGGUAAGGGGUAAAGAAUCACCGGGUAACUACGUG